UACGUAGGGAGCAAGCGUUGUCCGGAAUCAUUGGGCGUAAAGCGCGCGUAGGCGGCCCUGUAAGUCCGUUGUGAAAGUCAAAGGCUCAACCUUUGAAAGCCGAUGGAUACUGUAGGGCUAGAGUCCGGAAGAGGCGAGUGGAAUUCCUGGUGUAGCGGUGGAAUGCGCAGAUAUCAGGAGGAACACCAAUAGCGAAGGCAGCUCGCUGGGACGGUACUGACGCUGAGGCGCGAAAGCGUGGGGAGCGAACAGG
rnacentral:rRNA from 1 species